GGGGGCGUCACGGUUUCGACGGAAUUGUUUGCGGCAAAGAGGCAUGCCGGGGGCUGGGCACCCGUAAUCGCCUGGAAAAUGAUAAUUGCCGAUCAUCAACUGGCAUACGCUGCUUAAUUGACUAAGUAGCCGUCCUCCACGGCUUGGCCUGCGGGCCGGGGAAGGACGUCGCACAGCAGGCUGGUCUUUGCGGCUGGGUCUGGGCCGUAGAGACAAGAUCUACGGACUAGCGAUGCGCACAUCUUGUCCGUUCUGAGUGCGCAAAGCGAAACUUUCCGGAACGCGACUGAGCAUGGAGUCUCUCUGCUGACUGCAAUUUCGGACGCGGGUUCGACUCCCGCCGCCUCCACCA
rnacentral:tmRNA from 1 species